AGCCUAGGUCAUGAUAGAUGCCCGUGCCUGGUCUAUAGACGUGCUCGCCAGAAUUGAGGCAACUUCACCCUCCUUUAUCCACCAGGAAAGGCAGGGGCGUGAGGGUGGAGUGGAGUCUGACAGAGAGAAAAUGAUUGACGGACAGUCACCGCUUCCAAUCGGAGUGCCGUGCGCAGGCUGGCCAGCCUAUGGGACUCAGAUUCUAAGGCGAGAGGCGGGCCUCUCAGAUGUAGGAAGUAUUCGUGGGUGUCUGGGUAUUCAGGCAGGCGAAGGGCUUAGCGGCCUCUGGAAAAAGGCAAGCGCGAGCCGUGGACAUGCUCAUGGCGCAGAGGGGGGAAGCCAGCUGCCAUGUCAUGAGGCAGGUGAAGAGGGUCUCAAGGCAAAAAACUGAGUUCUUCCAAGAGCCAAGCCGUGCCGUGUGGCAUGUGGGAUCUUAGUUCCCUGACCAGUGAUGGAACCCGGGCCGCCUGCAUUGGGAGCGUGGAGUCUUAACCACUGGACCGUCAGAGAAGUCCCAUGACCCUCUUUUAGUAUGAUGGAGCGGCUAAAACACACAUCCUAGCUGCCAGGGACCAUCUUGAGUCUAUCUUCUCCCUCCUGCACAGGCAGAACAUCACUCAGUUCUUCCAACCUGGAACUUCUCCUCCCUCACCCUUGUGGCCCUUUGGUCCAUGAAUCACCUGGCUCCACCCUUCCCUGGACAGAGGAGUCAAGGCUUGGGCCAAGCCCGUCCAAUUGGAGUACCACAGCCCAGACCUUAGUGACCGGUCGGUGAAGGGCACAUGAUCCCAGGGUGGUCUCCUUGGAAAUUUUCAUGCCUGAAAAGAGAAAAGACUGCCUUUUUUCAGUGGGGUGGCUGAGCCGGCGGAUAGUAGCCCAUCGGAGGAAAGGCGCCAAAAGAAUCCAGAGAGUGUGAGGUGGAGAGGCAGAUCAGGAGGCCUCAAGGUACUCAGUCUUCAUGUCAAGCCAGGUCUGAAGCCAGAGGCAGUUCUGUAUUUCCUCACUGUGAGAUCCCAUAAAUUCUUCCUCUUUUGCUUAAGUUACUUUGAGCUACUUUUCUGUCUCUUACAACCUAAUGCACUCUCUUGUUUGCCUAAACCCACAACAGUCUCUGAAGGUCUUCACAGGCCCCGUUUAAUCAUUUCAUUCACGGUUGUUUGUUUUAUUUGUAAGUCUCUUCAAAGGAGAGCAUCUAACUAAUCAUCAACAGAGCCCCAGAAUGUCACCCUUCAUCACCCUUCAAAGUAGGCUCACAUCUGAUGCUGGGAUUAGUAACACUUGGUGUUGCAUCAUGAAUGAAUUCACAGGCUUAGUGAUGUUAUCUUGUUAUCUGUUUUCGCUUAGUUGAAUCAUUAAGGAACAAGAUCAUGAAAUAAGUUUUAGAAAAUUGCCUAACUUGAGGGGAAAAUCCACUACAUUUUUUUCACCCUUAAUGUUAGGCAUUCCUAAAGCCUAAAUACAGAAUCAUAUGUGGAAAGGAGGGAUAGUUACAUCCACAUAGAAAUGCUGUGGUGUCAAGAGCAUGUGUUAACCACACACCCAGAUCACUUAAAUUAGUGGAAGAUCUGAUCCUUAUCAUUUGUUUGCCUUACUCACCUCCCUGACAAGCAAUGGUGGUAUCAACCAAAUGUUAUACAGAUCCCUAAAUUUCCCUCAGCCUGCAAAAAUAAAAACUGAGCUCAGAGUAUGUGAAAGAAAUAUGGAACAUGCUUGUAAGAAAAUCUGGAAAUUACUAAGAGCAUUAUUUUUUAACAUAUAUAUACCAAGCAUCAUGAAGGUUAAGACAUUUCCAUCUUCUGUCAUUAACAACAUGAGUUGCAGUCUCAUAGGGAAGGACCUCAUUUGAGUCACAUUCUCAGCAAACAUCCUGAAAGACCAGAAGGCAAGACCCCUACACUCCAGUAGUCAAAUUUUGAGGUUAAGUUUUUGCAUUAACUUAGUGGAUCCUAGAUGAGAAAAUUCAACAAGAAAAAAAAAUGAGGGCAAAUCUGUAAUGGUCAGCAUUUAAUUUUUUUGCAUUAGUUUAGAGUCAGUGGUUAUAGAUAUAGUCAUAAAUUUAGUACGUUAUAGCAGAGGCUUACAAAGGAAUUGUAAUUUAAAUAUAAUGCAUUCAUUACAUAUUUAAGUAAAUUUCACUUUGAAAAGAGAGAAAGUAUAUUUCUAAAAUAUACUCAGAGGUAGAGUGUGUUUCUCAUUGCAUCAUGUCAGGGGAUAUAUGGUUUCAGUAAAAAUUAUCACUGCUGAAAUUAGCUUGAUUGCUUGCUUAAGAUCUUUCUUCACUACUUCUCUAUUAUAAAAUCAUGAUUUUCUUCUUUCCAUAUUCUAUUCUUUGGCAUAUGGCAAGUCCUCCCCAUACUGAAGGGGAAGGAAAUGAAUUUCCACUUCUUAGAAGGCAGGUAUCUCAACAUGUUAUUUGGAAUUCUUCCAUAAGGAAGAUUUGUUCCCUCCAUUUAUUUAUUUAUUCAAUAUUUUAUAAAUAUUGGUAUGGGCUGAUGGAUAUUUAUUUUUUUCUUUGGGGUAUAAUUCAAUAUUAUAUAUUUUGCUAGGAAAAUUGUCCCAUAUUUUAUUUAUUUAUUUAUUUAUUUUUGCGGUGCGCGGGCCUCUCACUGUUGUGGCCUCUCCCGUUGUGGAGCACAGGCUCCGGACGCGCAGGCUCAGCGGCCAUGGUUCAUGGGCCUAGCCGCUCCGUGGCAUGUGGGAUCUUCCCAGACCAGGGCAUGAACCCGUGUCCCCUGCAUCGGCAGGCGGACUCUCAACCACUGCGCCACCAGGGAAGCCCUGUCCCAUAUUUUAAUUUUUCCAUUUGUUAUAUAGUUUUCUAGGAAAAUGGUUCCAGCCUUGUCUAUUGGGCGUUCUUUCAUAUUGAUUCAUGUGUCCUUAUAACAUAGAUGGGAUCAUCUUGUGUUUUACCUGGCCCAGCCCUGUAUUCAGCCCUUUUUCCAAAGAGCUCUGGUUUCCCUUUAAUGGAUAAUGGUGUUUAGAAACCAAGAUCUGUGCACUGAAUGUGCUCAUUGCUUUCAGGGUGUCAGUGCUUCUAGGUCUGCUCAGGAGACAGAGCCAAGAA